rnacentral:rRNA from 1 species
UCCUUUAAAGAAAGCGUAACAGCUCACUGGUCAAGCGGAUAUGCACCAACAAUCCAACGGGGCUCAAGCACACGACCGAAGCUGCGAAAUGACAUUUCUUCGGAAAUGUCUUUGGUAGGGGAGCAUUGUGUGUGGUCUUAAGGCAGACCGAGAGGACUGCUGAACUCCACACAAGAGACCCUGCCGGCAUAAGUAGCGAUAAACACGAUGAGAACUCGUGUCGCCGAAAGUCUAAGGUUUCCUGAGGAAGGUUAAUCCGCUCAGGGUUAGGCGGGUCCUAAGGUGAGGCCGAAAGGCGUAGCUGAUGGACAACAGGUCAACAUUCCUGUCCCGCCUGGCGACGUUAACACGAUGGGGUGACGCAGAAGGAUAGGAGAUCCACCCGAUGGACGUGGUGGUUGGCGAGUGUAAGCCGGAUCCCGGAGGAAAAUCCCCGGGGUCAUUCAACGGUGAGACUCGACACGUGGCCGUAUGGCCAGGAAGUCUCUGAUUCCACGCUGCCGGGAAAAACCUCUAAGGAGUCCGCCAGGCGCCCGUACCACAAACCGACACAGGUAGACAAGGUGAAUAUCCACAGGCGCUCGAGAGAACGCUCGCUCAGGAACUAGGCACAUUAGCCCCGUAACUUCGGGAGAAGGGGCACCGCACUAGGGUUUAUAGCCCGAAGCGGUCGCAGUGAAAUGCGCUCUGCAACUGUUUAACAAAAACACAGCUCUCUGCAAAGUCGAAUACGACGUAUAGGGGGUGACACCUGCCCGGUGCCGGAAGGUUAAAGCAAGGGCUCAGCCGCAAGGCGAAGGCCUGAACUGAAGCCCCGGUGAACGGCGGCCGUAACUAUAACGGUCCUAAGGUUAACGAUCGCGCAGCCUUAGUAAAACUGAACCAUAUGCGGGAAACUCCUCGCACAGCAGUCCGGUACUCGUCGCGGUCACACGCGGCAGUCAAAAUCCGGCUGACAUGGGGACAAUCCGCAGGGAAGACUCCAGGAGAAGAAAAUGGAGAACCCUCAGAGACUUGACGUUCAGUCGCAUCCUGAGAAGCUACAGGCUCAAUGGGUAGUGGGGUUUGUUGAUGGCGAAGGUUGUUUUUAUGUCGGCAUCAACCCACAUCCAGAAAUACCUUGCCAAUACCAAGUGCUCCCCGAAUUCACGGUCGUUCAGCACCGACGUGAUGUUCAACUGCUUCACGCGCUGAAGAAAUUCUUCGGUUGCGGUGUAGUGAGACAAAAUCACGGAGAUCGCAUGGCCUAUCGUGUCCGGGGGCUGAAUCACCUCAACGAAAGGAUUGUUCCUUUCUUCGAAAAGCAUACCCUGAAAUCGAAGAAGAGGGUCGACUUCGCGAGGUUCCGAAAGAUUCUGCACCUGAUAAAUCAGGGAAAACACUUGAAAGCGGAAGGCAUUGAAGAAAUACGGGCCAUAGCUUCAGUUAUGAACACAGGCAGCGAAAGGGAAAGUCCGGCUUCUCUGGAAACAGAGUAGGGGAAACCGAGCGAAAUUCCUUGUCGGGUAAGUUCCGACCUGCACGAAUGGUGGAAUGAUAGAGCGACUGUCUUGGCGAACGGCUCGGCGAAUUUGUGGUUCCGGUGAAGACGCCGGAUGCCCGCAUCUAGACGGAAAGACCCCGUGCACCUUUACUGCACUCUGGUCAUGAGUAACGGAAUAGUCUGCGUAGCAUAGGCAGGAGCCUGUGAACCUCUGGUCUCGGCUGGAGGGGAGGCAACAGUGAAAUACUGCCC